GGGUAGCCGGCCUGAGAGGGCGACCGGUCACACUGGGACUGAGACACGGCCCAGACUCCUACGGGAGGCAGCAGUGGGGAAUAUUGCACAAUGGGCGAAAGCCUGACGCAGCGACGCCGCGUGAGGGAUGACGGCCUUCGGGUUGUAAACCUCUUUCAGCAGGGACGAAGCKAAAGUGACGGUACCUGCAGAAGAAGCGCCGGCUAACUACGUGCCAGCAGCCGCGGUAAUACGUAGGGCGCAAGCGUUGCCCGGAAUUAUUGGGCGUAAAGAGCUCGUAGGCGGUUUGUCACGUCUGUCGUGAAAGCCCAAGGCUUAACCUCGGGUCUGCGGUGAAUACGGGCUGACUAGAGGGUGGUAGGGGAGAAUGGAAUUCCCGGUGUAGCGGUGAAAUGCGCAGAUAUCGGGAGGAACACCGGUGGCGAAGGCGGAUCUCUGGGCCUGUACUGACGCUGAGGAACGAAAGCGUGGGGAGCGAACAGGAUUGGAUACCCUGGUAGUCCACGCCGUAAACGUUGGGAACUAGGUGUGGGGUACUUCCCAGGAUUCCGSKGCGUAACUAACGCAUUAAGCGCCCCCGCUGGGGAAKACSGGCCGCMAGGGUUAAACUYMAAGGAAUUGACSGGGGGCCCGCACAAGCGGGGGGARCAUGGUGCUUWAUUUCGACCGCACCGCGAAGAACUUAMCAAGGCUUGACAUCRCACCGAGAAMUCAKYAGAGAUGCGUGCCUCCCUUUUGUGGGYCGGUGUACAGGUGGUGCAUGGCUGUCGUCAGCUCGUGU
rnacentral:rRNA from 1 species